AUCAGAUUCAGGCUGUAUUUAGUGGGGGAGGGAUCUGGCCUCAUAUCCUUCAUCUUUAUGCUGCUCCACUCCAGCUCACAGCCCCUCCAACUGGAUGGAGCUCUUCGAAGGGAGGGGCAUUUCAGAGGAGGGUCUCAGGGAUAGCCCCUUUGUGGGGCUGGGCCACCAGGUUGGGGAGAGUGGAGCUGCUGGAACUCUGGAGGGACUGGCUGAGCCAGCUUUCCCAGUGCACCCCUCUGGGAGGGCAGGCUCUCGGUGUAGGCUGCCCAUCUCCUCGCUCUCCUCUGGCACUGCUCCUAUGCCCCCUUGGUUAGCCUGGGAGCCCAUACUACCCAGACUUGGGGUCAAUAAGCAGAGGACCUGUAAGGAGUCCUUGAUGGGAUGUACAGCACUGCCCAACCCUGCACAAGAUAACCCAUGGGCUCCUGAGAGCAGAGAUUGUGACUUACUCAUCUUUGAUGUAGCCAAGUUCUAACAAACCUAAAUGUGCAGUGUUUGACUACCUGAGAGCUGUCUAGAUUGAGCUGAAGGAAUUCAGAAAAGGGCAGUAUGAAUUCUUCAGCGUGGAGGCCGACUUUGUGGAGAGGAGGCAGGGCCUAUGUCGAUGCUGCUCGCUCUAUUUUCAGGGCUUGGCACCAUUCAUCCUCAAAAAGGCUACGGGUCCUCACUCAGAAUUAAAGAGGCUGUUCUGCAAAGCUGCCAUUCAUAGGGAGAACUGGCGAUGAAGUGUCUGUCAAAAGGACUGUUUUUACAAUUGGGACCUGCCUGUAGUGGUGAUGAGCCAUUUGUAAGAGAGGAUCAUGGAAUGAAUACGGGCAUUGAGUCAAGCAGUCUGUGUUCCACUGGCGGUGUGACCUGGGGCAGGCCAUUUCACCUCACUGAGCCUUAGUUUCCUCACCUGUAAAAUGUGAAAAAUAUCACCUUCCUUACCAGGCUUUUCUGAGGAUUUAAUGACAUCAUGUUCAGUGCCCAGUAUGGGUGGAUAAUACCCAGGAGUUUCCUCCUCUUCUCCUCCUAAGUUGACUUGAUGCCCCCCGCUGAAGAUCAUGGCUGAACUGGCUCAAUUCGGAUCCAGGACUCCUGGCUUUGUCUCUUCCCUAGUUGCCCACCACACCCAUGGACACCCUUAGGUAGUUUAUCCUUUUGGGACAACUGGAUUUAUUAGAAAAGGGUAUUCUGGGGUGGAAUAAGGCCCUUUUCAGUCCCCAUGGAGCCUUUUUGGAAGAUGAAGUUCUCAAACCCACAAGAGAAUUCAUAAGACGAGCACACCACCCACAGUUAGGUUUCCCUCUCAAGUGCUUUAUCUCCACGUGGGGCAAAUAGCUCUUUGUCUGCAUAUGUUAUUGGAGCUUUUGGAGUCCAGCCUUCAGAAGAGCUCUAAUUUUUGGAUUCAUAUCAGUUUAUUAGAGAAGCCUAGUUCUAAGGAUUAGCAAAUGGGUAGGUGCUCAGCCAGCCCAGAACAAGCAGAGCCAUGACAGAAGUUUCUGGAAUCUCACAGAGUCGGUGUCUUCAUGGACUCAGGGGGCCUAAAUCCAAUAGCCUGGAUUUGUCACUUUCCCUUAUUCCCUUAUCAAACUCUUCCCUUUUGGACAUCAGAGAAGGAAAGUACUUCCUGUAAGGGGGCAAUUUGCAAAGCUUCAUGGAAGUGGCAUUUGAGUGUGGCCUUAAAGGAUGUGUAGGAUUGGGAACCAUAGAUAUUUAGAGGAAGGCAUUCCUGGCAGAAGGAACAGCAGCAAAACACAGAAGUGGAAAUUAGUAGCAGCAUUAAUGGAGAAUAAUUUGGGGAAUAAGAUAUACAAAUGGAAUAAUAAAAAUAGCAUUAAUUAAACAUUGUGGGAGUCAUUCUGUAAGAUGGCCCCUGGUGAUCUCCGCCUCCUGUUCUUCAUGCCUUAUGUAACCGCUCUCCUUGAGUGUGGUCUGGAAUUACUGACUCACUUUCAAUGCACAGAAUGUAUCAGAAGUAAUGGGAUAUUCCUUCUGAGAAUAGAUUAUAAAAAAAGAGUGUGGCUUCCUUCCUGGCAUUUUCGCUUGCUCUCUCUUUAAUUGUGUGCUCCAAACAAAGCCAGCUGCCAUGUUGUGAGGAAGCCCUGUGUGGAGGACCACAUGGUGAGGA
rnacentral:lncRNA from 1 species